AGACAAGGCCUUCAGUAUAUCAAGAUCAGUGGAUCAAAGAAACAUCUUCAAGAAACUAAGAGGCAACACAAGAUUCUCUCUGAUGAAAUGCUUAAGUAUAAGGAAAAUGAUGGAAGACACAGAAGAGCAGCAGAGGUGGGUAGAAGACUACUACAGAUGCCGGAUCGCCACUUCUGAAAGAAAGGCUCACGACAACUGGCUCUGUGUUUAAGCCUUGCAGAGGGAGAUGCAAGAGAAGAAGGCUUCCUGCAAGCAGCACAGAUAGGAAAUGAUUGAAAAACGGAGAGUGCUGGAGAGACACAUUAGUCAGGAGCCAGCUAGUGGACAACCAGGCAUAGAGAAUCAUCCCCAAAGAGGUCAAUACGGCUUCAGGAGGGCCCCUUUUUCAGGAUUGCCCUACUUGCUCUACUGCAUGGCUGGCUCUUCAGGACCAUUUGUGGGCUGCCAGACACCUCCUCUGCCUGGGUGGCCUCUGGGAACACGACCACUGCCUCCAUGCACACCACUUGGACAAGCUGAAAUUUGAAGAGGCCGCUGAGCUGUGACAGCCAUGCUGUGGCUCCUACAUAACUUGGAAAAGUAUCCAAUACGUUUUAUGCUACCUGCUCACCUGUCUCUAAUCUUCCGUAGUGUUUCCGCUAAUAGAGGUUUGCAGUCCUAUCUGUUUGGACGUCUGUUUCCUGGAGUACCAGA